AGGUAAGCUACUAAGAGCGAAUGGUGGAUGCCUUGACUGGUAAAGGCGAUGAAGGACGUACUAGACUGCGAUAAGCUACGGGGAGCUGUCAAGAAGCUUUGAUCCGUAGAUUUCCGAAUGGGGCAACCCAGUAUAUAGAGAUAUAUACUACCAUAAUGGAGCGAACGAGGGGAAUUGAAACAUCUUAGUACCCUCAGGAAAAGAAAUCAAUAGAGAUU
rnacentral:rRNA from 1 species